rnacentral:rRNA from 1 species
AGAUUCCUACGGGAGGCAGCAGUAGGGAAUAUUGGACAAUGGGCGCAAGCCUGAUCCAGCCAUGCCGCGUGAGUGAUGAAGGCCUUAGGGUUGUAAAACUCUUUUAAUUGGGAAAAUAAUGAUUGUACCAAUAGAAUAAGCUCCGGCUAACUUCGUGCCAGCAGCCGCGGUAAUA